GAUGAACGCUGGCGGCGUGCUUAACACAUGCAAGUCGAACGGAAAGGCCCAAGCUUGCUUGGGUACUCGAGUGGCGAACGGGUGAGUAACACGUGGGGGAUCUGCCCUGCACUUCGGGAUAAGCCUGGGAAACUGGGUCUAAUACCGGAUAGGACCACUUCUUGGGUGUUGUGGUGGAAAGUUUUUUCGGUGUGGGGUGAGCUCGCGGCCUAUCAGCUUGGUGGUGGGGUGAUGGCCUGCCAAGGGGUCGGCGGGUACGCGGACUGUGAGAGUGUAAGGCCGCAUUGAGACUGAGAUACGGCACAGACUCCUACGCGAGGCAACAGUGGGGAAUAUUGACCAAUGGGCGCAAGCCUGAUGCAGCGACGCCGCGUGGGGGAUGACGGCCUUCGGGUUGUAGAAUCCUUUUGCUAGGGACGAAGCGUUUUGUGACGGUACCUGGAGAAGAAGCCCCGGCUAACUACGUG
rnacentral:rRNA from 1 species